rnacentral:rRNA from 1 species
AGAGUUUGAUCAUGGCUCAGGAUGAACGCUAGCUACAGGCUUAACACAUGCAAGUCGAGGGGCAGCGGGAUUGAAGCUUGCUUCAAUUGCCGGCGACCGGCGCACGGGUGAGUAACGCGUAUCCAACCUUCCGUACACUCAGGGAUAGCCUUUCGAAAGAAAGAUUAAUACCUGAUGGUAUGAUGAAAUUGCAUGAUAGCAUCAUUAAAGAUUUAUCGGUGUACGAUGGGGAUGCGUUCCAUUAGGUAGUAGGCGGGGUAACGGCCCACUAGCCUACGAUGGAUAGGGGUUCUGAGAGGAAGGUCCCCCANAUUGGAACUGGGACACGGUCCAAACUCCGUACGGGAGGCA